CAGCUAUCUGAAAAGCACAACACAAGAUUUGAUUAGGCGAGGCAGAACAGAGGGGUCAAUCAUGGGGGUUUGUCAGUUUUCAUUACUUUGUUCACUAUUGUCCAAGCACCUGAGACGGGAAGGCUACAGAAAGUUUGGAACCUGCCUCUGCACCAGUAAUUAAGCAUUAGUCAUGGAUUACUCUGGCUUCAAUAAACUUCACUUUGUCUGGUGAUAACUGGUACAUGGGACUAAAAAUCGAAUGUUCUCCUUUGGCAUGACAUAAAGAAUCAUCAUUUUCACAUUGUCAAGACCAGCAUUAUCUCCAUUUCUUCACCUCCUAUCUCAUGCUAGAUGGCAGCAUCUUAAGCCAACUUGUUCCAGACUAUCCAGCAUAAGCUGCUCUCAGUCCCAGUUUUGGGGAAAGGGUGAGAUAUAAAUAAAUACUGUAACAACAACAACAACAACAACUGAAUUAAUCUGCAGAAUACAGAACCUCCAGCUAUAAGAACUUCUUUUCAUUUUUCAUCAAUGUAUUUAUCAACUAGUACAAGCAAUGCACAAAGCAUUCAGCAUCUAUGGAGUGAGAAAGCAGCAAGGAUCAGAUUCUCUUGCAGCGCAUCCGUGUAAGCCACCCAACAAUGAUGGCUUGUUGUAAUAAGGGCACUGGGCUUUGCUGCCACAUUAUUUGAACAAGUGGAAGCUCAGCCUGCUGUGUAAUUAAUCCAGGGCUGAAUAAUGAAUUGCAGUUCCCAUGCCUGUAAGGGGACACUGACCUGAACCAGCAAAAACCUGUUACGCUACCAGCAGUUCCAAACUUUCCUAUUUUCUCAUGGCAGCAGUGUCACACAGUCUAGCAUCCAACUGUUAUAUAACUGUGUAUUUGUUUAGUUCCUUGGUCUCAUUCAACAACCAGCUGGAACAAUAGGGAAAAUAAUUUAAUAUUCAAUAAAAGACUUUUCUCUCAGAGUGGUGCCCUUUGGGAAGGGUAGAAGGGCAGCUUGAAAGCACAGUUUAUUUUCUCUCAGGACCCCAUGAUCAUUUUGCUUAUUAUGAACCAUAUAGUAAAGCAGAAGUUCCCUUAAAAUACAUUGCUUUCCUGUGACAUAUAAUCUUAAAAAGGCUUUUAAAUUCUUCUGUGAGCCACCUGAACAAUGAACCCUUAAAGCACUGCCCCUAGUUUCUUCCUUUGCAAUUUCUAUACAUUGACAGUUAUGUGGCCAUAGAAUUG